AACGCGAAGAACCUUACCUGGCCUUGACAUGUCCGGAAUCCUGCAGAGAUGCGGGAGUGCCCGAAAGGGAAUCGGAACACAGGUGCUGCAUGGCUGUCGUCAGCUCGUGUCGUGAGAUGUUGGGUUAAGUCCCGCAACGAGCGCAACCCUUAUCAUUAGUUGCUACGCAAGGGCACUCUAAUGAGACUGCCGGUGACAAACCGGAGGAAGGUGGGGAUGACGUCAAGUCCUCAUGGCCCUUAUGGGUAGGGCUUCACACGUCAUACAAUGGUCGGUGCAGAGGGUUGCCAAGCCGCGAGGUGGGGCCAAUCCCAGAAAGCCGAUCGUAGUCCGGAUUGUUCUCUGCAACUCGAGAGCAUGAAGUCGGAAUCGCUAGUAAUCGCGGAUCAGCAUGUCGCGGUGAAUACGUUCCCGGGUCUUGUACACACGC
rnacentral:rRNA from 1 species